rnacentral:lncRNA from 1 species
GAAAAAACUCCCUAGAUGUAUUUCUAACUAGACUGUAAUAUUCUUGAAGAUCAGGGAGUUGUCUUAUCCAUUUUUACACGCCUUGAAGCAUCUAACGAAUACCAGUGAAAUUGUAAACUCCCGGAAGGCAAGAAAAAAAAAUUUUGACAAAAUUGAGCUGAGAUAAGAAAAGUUCAACUCUGACAGAUUAAAAAACCUGUACAAAUUCAAAAGGUAACGUAGAACCUGAGGCCAGCUAAAGUGGAAAACAAAAUGCUUUUUGAAUUUAAUGUAAAGAUGAUACUGUCAAGGCCGCAACGAGACUGCCAAGGUCCAACAAGUCUGAGUCUGUGGCACGUGGAAGGAAGAGUCCUCUCUGUGACACAUCUGCGCUUAAUCCACCCAAUUAGGUGUCUCCACCUGCCCCCUCCCCUGCUCCCCAGCAAGGCAAAACACCUGGGAACCAACGAGAUAAAUGCAGCUGCAAAGAUCCUGCGGCUGCCGCAUCUGCACGACACGCCUUGUGACAGUUCCCCGCUUGAAAAUGCAGUUGUGCAAAGGACUGUGCAGAGUGUGUUUUCCCUCCCACUCUUUCCAUUCUCAUUUCUUUCUCUCAUGUUUAUGGACUUUAUCUCAAUUUGAGUGAAGGCAGUUGUGCUGAAUAAUGAUGAGGUGCUUCCUCCAGUGCUGCACAGUGAUAGCCUGAUAGUUUCAGCCAGCUUGGAAUUCUUCAAAUGUCUUCUUUUUGUUGUUAUCAAAAGAGGUGACCUACUACCUGGGGCAUUGUGUUGACACCUAUGGAUACCAAAGAGGCAAAGUAUUCGAUUAUCUCCUUUUUUUCCCGGUCUUCCCUAGAAUUGUAACUCACUUGCUUUGUUUCUUGUG